CACUAAUAACUACUUCCCCAAUCACUUUGGUGAAGAAAUGAAUCCCGCCCAGCUCGUCAGUCCAGCCGGGUCUCCGUUCUGUCUUGCUCUCCAGACUCCUCUUCUUCGUGAAAGCCAGGUUUGAAAGUCCUUUUUGCUUCUUCGCCUUUGGUGUUUUGGUGUGGCGGGCGGGGGCAGUGUCACUUUAACUCCAGUCUACACCGCCAAGGGCCUCCAGACUCGUAAAGUGCCUGGGACGCAUGUGGGGUGCGCGACUCUGCUAGCGCGCGCCCGAGCCCCGCGGCUCUUGCCCGAGCCUUUGGGUCCGCUCUCUCCCCGCCUCCCCCCGCCCCACCCCUCCGAGUGUCGCGGCACCAACUAAUCUUCUCCUUUUCGUUUGCAAGAUCAAGGGAGAGAGCAAGCCGGCUCCCGGCCUUGGACUCUGAGCCGCGCGCCGCUAGCUCCGCGGCGGGUCAGCCCCGAACCUGUGAAGGGCUCCACGCUCCUGCCAGCCAGCCCACGCCAGGGAUACUGCAGCCCGGGGAGGCAACUGGAGCUAAUCCGGCGGCAGGUUUAAAUGUUUUUUGACUACUUGGC
rnacentral:lncRNA from 1 species